rnacentral:rRNA from 1 species
GGAGUAGUGACAAUAAAUCUCAAUACGAAGCCUUUGGUUUUGUAAUUGAAUUGAGAACAAUGUACAAUCGUUAUCGAUAAACAAUUGGAGGGCAAGUCUGGUGCCAGCAGCCGCGGUAAUUCCAGCUCCAAUAGCGUAUAUUAACGUUGUUGCAGUUAAAAAGCUCGUAGUUGAAGUUUAGAUGGUUUGAAGGGGGUGUUAGUAUUCGUACUAUCUGCUCUCUUUGGAUUAUCGACUUCCAGGUAAGUAUAAUGUACCUUUCGGGGUUCGUUAUACCAGACUGGUCUUUUACUGUGAGAAAAUUAGAGUGUUUAAAGCAGACUUUUUUAGUUUGAAUAGAUUAGCAUGGAAUAAUAAGAUUGGCUUUCAUAGUCGAUUUUUUGGUUUGUUUAUGAAAGCAAGAUUAAUAGGGACAGUUGGGGGUAUUCAUAUUCAAUAGCUAGAGGUGAAAUUCUAUGAUUUAUGGAAGAUGAACAAGUGCGAAAGCA